rnacentral:rRNA from 1 species
CUCCAGACUCCUACGGGAGGCAGCAGUGGGGGAUAUUGCACAAUGGGGGGAACCCUGAUGCAGCGACGCCGCGUGGGUGAAGAAGCGCCUCGGCGCGUAAAGCCCUGUCAGCAGGGAAGAAAAUGACGGUACCUGAAGAAGAAGCCCCGGCUAACUACGUGCCAGCAGCCGCGGUAAUACGUAGGGGGCAAGCGUUAUCCGGAUUUACUGGGUGUAAAGGGGGCGCAGACGGCGAUGCAAGCCAGGAGUGAAAGCCCGGGGCCCAACCCCGGGACUGCAUUGGAAACUGCCGGGCUGGAGUGCCGGAGGGGCAGGCGGAAUUCCUGGUGUAGCGGUGAAAUGCGCAGAUAUCAGGAAGAACACCGGUGGCGCAGGCGGCUUGCUGGACGGCAACUGACGCUGAGGCUCGAAAGCGUGGGGAGCAAACAGGAUUAGAUACCCGGGUAC